UGGCUGAAAUUGGCAAUACUACACCUGUGACUCUUCUGCAUCUGUCUGAUUUCAGAAGCCACACUGGUGAAUUAAAUUGAGUUAUGAUGAAGAUUACUGCCCUUGUACCCUUUAGAACAGGGGUUGGUAAACUUUUUCUGAAAAGCUUUCCUCCUCUCUAGAGGACUCAGCAAUAUGGGGCCAUCUUGGAAGCAGAGAGACAAGACCCUCAAUAGACACUGAACCUGCUGGUGCCUUAAUCUUGGACUUCCCAGCCUCUAGAAUUGCAGAAGUAAGUUUCUAUUAUUUUUGAAUUACUCUGUCUCAGGUAUUGUGUUAUAGCACAAAUGGAGUAAGACAACCAGUCAUUCAUUUAACCACAUGUACUGGAAAUUGACUUAAUACCAGACAAAUAAUUGGCAUAAGGAAAUGAAUAUAACAUGAAUUUAUUCCCUGGAAAAGUUCAUGUUAUAAUUAUUUGUAAGUGUAUUAAAAAUUGUAUUAAAUCUAAAUGAUACUAGAGCUUUUUAAUAGCUAGAAGAUACUUAAGGGUAAUAGACUUUUGGGCACAGUUCUUAUUAUUCCCUUUAUUGUCCACGUUGUGAGUUACCCAGGUCCUUCUACAUUUGGACAAGGACCUAUAACCAAAUGAAAGUGUAGAAAGCUAAAAAAAAUUGUAUAUUACGAAUAAAAAGUAAAGAAAAUUUAUGUAACUGCUACAGAGAGGUUGCUAUAGUAAGCAUAUUUUCCCAAUCAUAACUUUUUUUUUUUUUUGUAAUCAUGGAAAACUGCUUGUUGUGAGCACUUAUUACCCAAUUGAAAUGAUUUCUUUUAAGGAUAGAGUGUGAUUGAGUCUUUUCCAAUUGGAAGCUUAUUAUGAAGCAUGAUUGCAUGUCUUAAUGCAUUAUAUACAAUCAGAAAAUAUAUGUUAAUCAAGUAAAUUCUGUGCAAGUAUGUUUAUGAAAUGCUGGGUUUAAAAGACCUUGCAUUCAAAAUUGACAAAGACAUAUUAGCAGGGACAACAUCUAAGAAAGUCUAAGGCCAAAAGAAAAAAAAAAAAACCCAAAAAACUAAUGACAGUAAUGAGUAUUUUUGUGGACUGUGGACUAUUCCUGUUUUUGCCUUUA
rnacentral:lncRNA from 1 species